UACACAAAUAUGAAGGCGGGCUGGAACCUCUCGGGGUUACAGCCUUGCUGAAUUAUUCACCCUUGUCUUUUGCGUACUUCUUGUUUCCUUGGUGGGUUCGCCCACCACUAGGACAAACAUAAACCUUUUGUAAUUGCAAUCAGCGUCAGUAACAAAUUAAUAAUUACAACUUUCAACAACGGAUCUCUUGGUUCUGGCAUCGAUGAAGAACGCAGCGAAAUGCGAUAAGUAGUGUGAAUUGCAGAAUUCAGUGAAUCAUCGAAUCUUUGAACGCACAUUGCGCCCUUUGGUAUUCCAAAGGGCAUGCCUGUUCGAGCGUCAUUUGUACCCUCAAGCUUUGCUUGGUGUUGGGCGUCUUGUCUCUAGCUUUGCUGGAGACUCGCCUUAAAGUAAUUGGCAGCCGGCCUACUGGUUUCGGAGCGCAGCACAAGUCGCACUCUCUAUCAGCAAAGGUCUAGCAUCCAUUAAGCCUUUUUUUCAACUUUUGACCUCGGAUCAGGUAGGGAUACCCGCU
rnacentral:rRNA from 1 species